rnacentral:rRNA from 1 species
UACAUGGAGUCCAAGCGUUAUCCGGAUUUACUGGGCGUAAAGCGUCCGUAGGUGUCCCAUUAAGUCUUCGGUGAAAUCUCCGGGCUUAACUCGGAAACUGUCGAGGAAACUGAUGGGAUUGAGUACGGCAGAGGCAGAUGGAAUUCUUGGUGUAGGGGUAAAAUCCGUUGAUAUCAAGAAGAACAACCAGUGGCGAAGGCGAUCUGCUGGGCCGGUACUGACACUGAGGGACGAAAGCGUGGGGAGCGAACGGG